rnacentral:rRNA from 1 species
AUUGAACGCUGGCGGCAUGCUUUACACAUGCAAGUCGAACGGUAACAGGCCUUCGGGUGCUGACGAGUGGCGAACGGGUGAGUAAUGCAUCGGAACGUGCCCAAUCGUGGGGGAUAACGUAGCGAAAGUUACGCUAAUACCGCAUAAGCCCUGAGGGGGAAAGUGGGGGACCGCAAGGCCUCACGCGAAUGGAGCGGCCGAUGUCAGAUUAGCUAGUUGGUGGGGUAAAGGCUCACCAAGGCGACGAUCUGUAGCGGGUCUGAGAGGAUGAUCCGCCACACUGGAACUGAGACACGGUCCAGACUCCUACGGGAGGCAGCAGUGGGGAAUUUUGGACAAUGGGCGCAAGCCUGAUCCAGCCAUGCCGCGUGGGUGACGAAGGCCUCGGUUGUAAGCCCUGUCGGGGGAGGACGGAACCGGCCGUCGUGGCGUAAUAUCC